rnacentral:rRNA from 1 species
ACAUGCCUACAUCAUAGCGGUAAUGCAUCAGAUCACAUUAGAACUACACAGUUAAGCGCGCUCGGGCUAGAGUAGUAUUGGUAUGGGUGACCGCCCGAGAAUUCCUAGUGUUUUACAUGCC